UAGCACUGAUGGAGAAGAAAAUAGCAGCAGCAGCUAUGAUGAUGGCUUCCGCAUACACUCAGCACGGACCUUUCACUAGCCAUGAAACUGACCCCACAGGCAUGUGGGGUAUCCCAGACGGUGGGGAAGUAUGAAGCCUUCUGCUGCAUACUGUAGGCAUCCACCAGCUAUCCACCGAUGGAGAAAAAGUGUAGCUACAGGCCCUUCAGAUGUUGGACUCUAGAGCUAAACUGCAGUCGGACCCGAACAUCUCAAGAACAAGCCUUAAAGAGUAACAAAGUAGCAAAGUUUACUGGUGUUGAAUAAAAUCUGGG